GUCAAUUGUUCAAGCUAGCAAGACCGCAGCUGUGUCUUCUCACGGGCUCGCACGCACCGUAAGCCGGAAUGUCUUCCCUCGGCAAGGAAAGCAAGGGGCUGCCGCAGGGAGAAGGAGAAGGUCACACGCGCAAGGUCCAUCACGAAAGUAUCGGGCAGAUGUCAGCGGAAUCUUCGGGCCCAUCAACAAGGAGACCUGAGGCGUUCUAAACGGCCGAAACGUCUGGACGCGACAAAGGAGGCGAGGACUCCCGUCUGGAUAUGGCGAGUGUCGACGAUACGGGGACUUCACAAGGUACGGGGGAUAUCACGAGAAUCUCUAGUGCACCUUGAGACGACCCCAAGUGUUCAAAACGAUUGACCGACGGCAAACGGUGUGCAGCAAUGCCGUGCUAAGGGUUAGUAAAGAUAGACAAGGGAGGUGCCAGACGCAGCAGUGAAGAGGGAGACAGCGGUCUUGGCGGAAGUCGUCUCGGUGCUCCUCCUCGUUGUGGGUUUCCUUGGAGUCUUCCUGAAUGACAUGCAGUCAUCUCAAAUCAUUUGUCAAGGACGCAUGGGGAGAGGACAUUCCGAAACAAUACUAGUUUGUAUUUCCACCAUCUCUACAAUGACUUCAUGACGGCACCGCAAGUCUUGCUUGUUGCAGCUGAUGCGUGCGUGCGUACAUCCUGGUCAUGAUGAGGAACCUAAGGGCAUUGGAGGAACCAGCUUGAAGACAAGACAACUUUCGUGGUGGGACGAAUCCGUGGCCAGAAAGCUGAGAGGUCGUGUUCACGCCCUAUCAGAGGAUCUUGUGUGAGGCAAGCCAAGAAUGAUAGGUUUUUCAUAUUUUAUGAGUAGGCGAUCUAAAGCUGUUUCUUGAAGUUCUGUGAGUAGGCGAUCUAAAGCUGUUUCUUGAAGUUAUGUGUUUAUGUCGACUCUUUGGAUUCUUUCGCAUUGUGUUGUAAUUAGUUCAUGCGCAAUUUGUGUUAGUCUGUAUAGACUGUAGACUGACGUAGUAGGUAGAGAGCGUAAAA